rnacentral:rRNA from 1 species
CACUGGUCGAGUGAUCCUGCUCGAAGAUUUCCGGGGCUAAAACUUACUACCGAAGCUACGGCAUCAGUAAUGAUGGGUAGGGGAGCUUCCCAUACGGGUUGAAGCAUGACCGUAAGGACAUGUGGACAGUAUGGGAGUGAGAAUGUUGGCAUGAGUAGCGAGAUGUGGGUGGGAAUCCCACAGGCCGUAAACCCAAGGUUUCCAGGGGAAGGUUCGUCCGCCCUGGGUUAGUCGGGACCUAAGCUGAGGCCGAAAGGCGUAGGUGAUGGACAACAGGUUGAUAUUCCUGUACUACCGAUAACCGUUUG